AUCCAGUUGACGAGUACCAAACAGAACGAAACGCGCGUCCUGGAU
rnacentral:hammerhead_ribozyme from 1 species